rnacentral:sRNA from 1 species
UCAUAAACUAAAAAUGUAGGUACACAA